rnacentral:rRNA from 1 species
CGGCGGACGGGUGAGUAACGCGUGGGUAACCUGCCUCAUACAGGGGGAUAACAGUUAGAAAUGGCUGCUAAUACCGCAUAAGACCACAGUACUGCAUGGUACAGUAGGUAAAAACUCCGGUGGUAUGAGAUGGACCCGCGUCUGAUUAGGUAGUUGGUGAGGUAACGGCCCACCAAGCCGACGAUCAGUAGCCGACCUGAGAGGGUGACCGGCCACAUUGGGACUGAGACACGGCCCAG